AUCGCUUCUCGGCCUUUUGGCUUAGAUCAAGUGUAAUAUCUGUUCUUAUCAGUUCAUGUCAGUACAUCGGGCACCAUUGAUGUGGGACUGGUGAGGAUGGGUGCUGCAUGGAGGGGACAGGUGUACUGGGGCGUUCCGGGGCUGGUUCUGAGGAAUCAGCUCAGCAGCUGCCCCGAUGUGACUUGUACUAUCC